GUGGGGAAUCUUGCACAAUGGGGGCAACCCUGAUGCAGCGACGCCGCGUGAGCGAUGAAGCCCUUCGGGGUGUAAAGCUCUUUCGGCGGGAACGAUAAUGACGGUACCCGCAAAAGAAGCUGCGGCUAACUACGUGCCAGCAGCCGCGGUAAUACGUAGGCAGCAAGCGUUGUUCGGAGUUACUGGGCGUAAAGAGUGUGUAGGCGGUCCUCUAAGUUCGGUGUGAAAUCUCCCGGCUCAACUGGGAGGGUGCGCCGGAAACUGGAGGGCUCGAGUAUGGGAGAGGAAAGCGGAAUUCCUGGUGUAGCGGUGAAAUGCGUAGAUAUCAGGAGGAACACCUGCGGUGUAGACGGCUUUCUGGACCAUGACUGACGCUGAGACACGAAAGCGUGGGUAGCAAACAGGAUUAGAAACCCCAGUAGUCC
rnacentral:rRNA from 1 species